AUACCCUACGGAAUGCUCAGGUCCGCCGCAUCUCCUGGGUCCGUGGGGUCAGGCCGGCCGGAAAGCAGGGUGUUGAGUGGCCUCCUCGUUAAGCCCCGCCUCCGGUCGGCCACCUC
rnacentral:sRNA from 1 species